AUGGCGGAGUCUUUCACGGAUGUUUCAAAUGCUCCAUGGUUCAAGCAAAGGCACAAUGAGGGUUUUGCUCCUCAAAAAGUUGAGGAUUUCGGGGAUGGGGUGCCUUUCCUGAGAUUCACGUUGCUCAAUUUCCUCUUAACAUGGGUAGGGUCGUCCUCAGUGGAGGAUCAAAGAUUGUGAACAGAAUCAGAUUGUUUACUCGCACUAUAAACAUCUUAUACCCAAGGUGCUUUUGAGUGUAAAAGAGAAUGCUGGUGAUGAUGAUGAGGAGGAGGAGUUGCAGAGGGAGAUUGAAGAGACUAAAGCUUCCCUUCAAAAGAUUCUGAAUCGUAGGUUCACUACUGCAAGACAACGACACUCUUCUAAGUUUAUAAAGUAUAAACCUUCACAGCAAUCUGCUUCUGCUGCGUUCAACUCAGGUGCUAAGGAGAGGAUAAUCAACAUAUUGGAGAUGCUUGCCGAUCCCCUUGAUCCUCCUAAGUUCAAGCAAAAGCAUCUUCCAAAGCCUUCUGCCUCUGCCUCCCCACCUGUGCCAAUCAUGCAUUCUCCUCCUCGCCCCGUUAACGUCAAGGACCAACAAGACUGGAAAAUUCCACCUUGCAUCUCUAAUUGGAUUAACCCUAAAGGUUAUACCAUUCCUCUUGAUAAGCGUCUCGCAGCAGAUGGUAGAGCCCUUCAUGAUGUCCACAUCAACAAUAAUUUUGCAACCCUUUUGGAAGCACUGUAUCUUGCAGAGCACAAGGCUCGAGAAGCUGCAGCCAUAAGAUCCAAGCUUCAGAAGGAGAUUCUCAUGAAGGAGAAGGAAAGGAAAGAACGUGAGCUCAGGGCACUUGCUCAAAAGGCACGUUCUGAGAGAACUACAGAAGCCUGACCCUCGGUUGUACCAAUUGCUUCUGCCGCUGCAGCCUUAGAUACUUCUGAUACGAUGAGAAUUCAUUAUGAGCAUGCAAGCGCCUAUGAGAAGGAGGAUCAUCUGCCUAAGGAGACUAUGGAGGAACAACGUAUGCUGCGUGAGAAAGUGCGUGAAGAGCGACGUCGAAAGGGAGAGGGAGAGAAGGUUGGAGGACAAGGAUGCUGCGAUGGGGAAGACGAAGAAGAGCAAGAUCACAAGAGAUAGAGAUAUAUUGUGAUAUUAGCGAGAAGGUUGCUCUUUGCAUGGCUUCUUCUACUGGAGGGGCAGGAAGAGGAGGAGAGGUUAUGUAUGACCAAAGACUGUUCAACCAGGACAAAGGAAUGGACUCUGGAUUCGCAACUGAUGACCAGUACCAUGUGUAUGGCAAGGCCUUGUUUACUGCUCAGCCAACACUUUCAACCCUAUACAGUAGGCCAAACAAAGGUGUUGAUGUCGAGACAUAUGGCAACGCAGAACAGUUGCGGAUGACUGGUCCUAGAGAUGGGCCACUUGAGUUUGAGGAGGAUUAUUUUGGACUGGGUCAGUUUUCGUCAGAGGUCAAUACUGGUAAGAAAGCUCUCAAGGAAGUUGGUGCUAGAGGCUCAAUGAGAGCUAGUGCUGGAUCUUCAAUGCGAGAUGGCUAUGGAGGUGGUUCCAGUAGAACUCACAUUGGAUUUGAAUCAGGGUGUUGACUGUUUAGUAGCUUCUUUUUUUUUUUUUG